GACAGAGGUGCCAAGCGUUAGGCGGAAUCACUGGGCUUAAAGCGUGUGUAGGCGGGCGAUCAGUACCUUGUGAAAUCCCACGGCUCAACCGUGGAACUGCUGGGUAUACUGGUUGUCUUGAGCCAGCUAGGGGCGAGCGGAACAGACGGUGGAGCGGUGAAAUGCGUAGAUAUCGUCUGGAACGCCGAAGGUGAAAACAGCUCGCUGGGGCUGCGCUGACGCUGAGACACGAAAGCCAGGGAGCGAACGGG
rnacentral:rRNA from 1 species